rnacentral:rRNA from 1 species
CCUACGGGGGGCUGCAGUGGGGAAUAUUGCACAAUGGGCGCAAGCCUGAUGCAGCCAUGCCGCGUGUGUGAAGAAGGCCUUCGGGUUGUAAAGCACUUUCAGCGGGGAGGAAGGCGUUAAGGUUAAUAACCUCGGCGAUUGACGUUACCCGCAGAAGAAGCACCGGCUAACUCCGUGCCAGCAGCCGCGGUAAUACGGAGGGUGCAAGCGUUAAUCGGAAUUACUGGGCGUAAAGCGCACGCAGGCGGUCUGUCAAGUCGGAUGUGAAGUCCCCGGGCUCAACCUGGGAACUGCAUUCGAAACUGGCAGGCUAGAGUCUUGUAGAGGGGGGUAGAAUUCCAGGUGUAGCGGUGAAAUGCGUAGAGAUCUGGAGGAAUACCGGUGGCGAAGGCGGCCCCCUGGACAAAGACUGACGCUCAGGUGCGAAAGCGUGGGGAGCAAACAGGAUUAGAUACCCUAGUAGUC